AGGAAGUAAAAGUCGUAACAAGGUCUCCGUUGGUGAACCAGCGGAGGGAUCAUUACCGAGUUUACAACUCCCAAACCCCUGUGAACAUACCUAUACGUUGCCUCGGCGGAUCAGCCCGCGCCCUGUAAAACGGGACGGCCCGCCCGAGGACCCUAAACUCUGUUUUUAGUGGAACUUCUGAGUAAAACAAACAAAUAAAUCAAAACUUUCAACAACGGAUCUCUUGGUUCUGGCAUCGAUGAAGAACGCAGCAAAAUGCGAUAAGUAAUGUGAAUUGCAGAAUUCAGUGAAUCAUCGAAUCUUUGAACGCACAUUGCGCCCGCCAGUAUUCUGGCGGGCAUGCCUGUUCGAGCGUCAUUUCAACCCUCAAGCUCAGCUUGGUGUUGGGACUCGCGGUAACCCGCGUUCCCCAAAUCGAUUGGCGGUCACGUCGAGCUUCCAUAGCGUAGUAAUCAUACACCUCGUUACUGGUAAUCGUCGCGGCCACGCCGUAAAACCCCAACUUCUGAAUGUUGACCUCGGAUCAGGUAGGAAUACCCGCUGAACUUAAGCAUAUCAAUA
rnacentral:rRNA from 1 species